CUGCUAAGCCCUGCCUAUGC
rnacentral:misc_RNA from 1 species